GACGAACGCUGGCGGCGUGCCUAAUACAUGCAAGUAGAACGCUGAAGGAGGAGCUUGCUUCUCUGGAUGAGUUGCGAACGGGUGAGUAACGCGUAGGUAACCUGCCUGGUAGCGGGGGAUAACUAUUGGAAACGAUAGCUAAUACCGCAUAAGAGUAGAUGUCGCAUGACAUUUGCUUAAAAGGUGCAAUUGCAUCACUACCAGAUGGACCUGCGUUGUAUUAGCUAGUUGGUGAGGUAACGGCUCACCAAGGCAACGAUACAUAGCCGACCUGAGAGGGUGAUAGGCCACACUGGGACUGAGACACGGCCCAGACUCCUACGGGAGGCAGCAGUAGGGAAUCUUCGGCAAUGGACGGAAGUCUGACCGAGCAACGCCGCGUGAGUGAAGAAGGUUUUCGGAUCGUAAAGCUCUGUUGUAAGAGAAGAACGAGUGUGAGAGUGGAAAGUGCACACUGUGACGGUAUCUUACCAGAAAGGGACGGCUAACUACGU
rnacentral:rRNA from 1 species